AUAUAUAUAUAGAAAGUCUAUUAGUGACCCUGGGUGAAGAAUAAGUAAUUCCUCACCCGGGUCGAUCGACCGAGCGAUGGUAGUUUGACUAAACGCCAGCCAAUGUAAUUUUACUUCGAGGGAAACUUUAGCUGGUCGCCCACUCCCCCAAAUGUCAGAAGGAAAAAAAAACUAGCCCACUCCUCCAGUCCGUUCCUAUCUCCCUCCGGCCCCUCACAUCUCGUCAUUGCGGCGGCGGCGGCGGCAGCGACGGCGCCGGACGGACGACCCGGCGGCGAGGACUACCUCUCUUGCGCGUGGAGUACUUCCCUUACCUCUCUCAUGCGGUAGCGACUCGGAGGCGCCGUGGGCGGUGCAAGAUCUGGGCGAGCUCGGCAGGACGACGGCGUUCUCCGGCGUCCCUCUUCACCGUCGACGGUAUUAUCAUCAGUUUUCAAGCUUUGGGUGCCUGCGGCCGGCUCGACGGGUGGCAUCAGCAAGCGUCGGCCGGCCUCGGCACUGCUGUUGGUGGUUAUAUGGUGGGCGGAGCACACUAGUGGGCUUCAACGUCAGGGUACGGUGGCGUGCUAAAUCCUGAGUCCUGCUAGGCUUUUUUUGGUUCAGGUUUUGUUACUGUUUUCCAUUCGGGGUUAUGUGGCGAGCAAACCUAGCAUUUGCAGUUAGUUGUUUCAGAAAUUCAUCUCCUGACAUCAAAUUUCGAUACGUAAGGUUAAUCCUGCCAACAAAUCUAUGUUAUGGGCUUGCUAGUUCUCUUCAUAUCUCUAUGCUGAUUUUGUGUGCAAUUUAGAUGAAUACUUUCUGUUUUAUUCAGGGAUACGUUCAGCAUGCUUGUGAGGUACACAUUUUUCAGUUCCAAUUAUAAGUGUUUGCCUUAUUUAUCGCUCAAAUUUCAUGUUCUAAAGAUGCUCCUUCACUUCAAUACAGCGUUGGCAUGUAGGAUGACUAUCUAUCCAAAUUAUCAUGUACAAUUUUUUUAAAAAAAUUGGCUCUUCUUCUGCAUGUCUCUAAGGCAUACUUUCUGAUCUAUCAUGAGAUAAUGAUUAUUUCUUCUUCUUUCUUAACAUGCCGCUAGUUGCUAUGAAAAUUUAACACAUACAUCAGCCUUUUGUCAUUGAAACAAAAUCAUAUCUGCCAAGUUUCUACAUUCCGUCGAAGCUUGCAGAUUUACCAUCUAACUUGGCACAUUAUUGAAACAAAUCGUAACCAUGGAUUCUAUACGGAAGAUCGACAUAUCAUUUUUACAUUAGAUUCAUGUAUACUGUAAGGAAUUGAUUUUGUUCAACUUCAACCCAUUUUCCUAUCUUGCAAAGCUGUCCAUUCAAGUAUAUUCAAUUUCUACUAUGUGACUUAAUACAUUUGUAACACUGGCAUAGUGACAUUGACAUGCUUUUCUUUUUCGUCCGUUUAAUAUUGAUUCAUCUACAUGGUUAUAUGCAUGCCUUUGCAUAAAUUACUUAUCCAGUCUGCUAUUGAUCAUUUCCAUUUUUCAUCCCGGCAGUACGCUGAUAGCUUAUCCAGUCUGCUAUUGAUCAUUACCUUUUUUCACCCUGGCAGUAUGCCGAUAGCUAUAAUCAAGUCAAUAGUUCCAAAAUGUUGGUUCACAAUUAUUUGUCUUUUUGGGAAGCACAUGGCUGGCUCCGGUUGGUGGCAUGGCCUUUCCAUUCUGAAUUGAAGAGGGUCUGAAAAGUUUGAACUAUCCAUGGAAUAGAAAAGAUACAGCUUUCCUUCAUAUCGUUGAUUCUUCUUAGUCUUCCUUUUGUGAAGUUGUGUAGCAAUCUUCCUUUUCCUAUAUGUAAUUUGAUUUUCUUAGGAAUACUCCAUUUUCUUACGAACACGACGUCGUUGCGAUGCCUCCAGAUGCACCAGCAACAGAACAUGAAGAAUGUCGUGGCGAGGUGAGCGACAUCUGGCAGAUUGCGGACAGAGGCCACGGAAGGUGACCGGAACCCCAACGUGGCCCUGAAAUCAACCACCAAUGGGCAAGCAUAGAGGAGGUGACUCGCUGACUGCAGCGGGGAAUGGCGGAGUGGGCAACUAUUCCACGCUCUAAAAUUGAGGUUUAGAGCAAUUAAAAAGAAUCAUGUUCCUGCUUUUUUCUCCUUGCUGUGAGUGUAUUGGAGUAUAGGGUUCUCCCUGGAGGGUCGUGUAAUCAAUGUGCUAUCUGAGGCAAUGUAUAGAGUUCCAGUUCUGUUUUUCUUGAGGGCUGACCCUGUAAAUUCUAGCUCUGUUUUC